rnacentral:rRNA from 1 species
UGGGGAGUUUUUUUUUUCUCUCUCUUCCACUCUGAACACUCGAACCGCGCCACCUUCCUUUCCUUGCCCUCCUCCCUCUCUUUCUCUCUCUCCUGAGGCGUUCGUACGUCUACCGGAAGUCGUCGAAGGACGAGGGGGGCGGCAGCGGGGGCGACGGGUCGGGGCGGCGCCGGCGGCGGAGGCGGAGGCGGAGGUGGAGCAGGAGGAGCAUGGGUCACCGGCGCGUGGCGCCGGCGGCGGACGCCCCUGGAGCGACGGCGACGCCGGCGAGCGGCCUCCAUUGGGGGCGCUGGUGGUGGUCGUCGCCAAGGCCGCUGGCGCCGAGCACGCUACUCCUCCUGCGGAGGCGGGGCGGAUGGGAGGGGCAGCUUGGGCAGCCGCCCCAGCGGAGGUGCCUGUCGGAUUGGCCUUCACGCUGUGGUUCUAUAGUCCGUUGAAGCUGAUUUCCCCUGUGAUCCUUACUUCUAGAACUUUUUACCCUUUUGUUAGUUGCGCCCUGUCUACCAAAUAGGUCAUCGUUCAGGUUCAGUCGAAUGAGGUUUCGUAAACCCCACCUAAACAGGGGUCUAUUACACCGACAACGGUGACAAAUAAAACACGUUCCUCAAAAUCCAGAAAGUUCUGAUCGACAGUCGAAAAUGAAUUUUCUACUAGAAGUUGAACUAGGUCGUCUCUGACGUCAAUAUUGACCAAAGAGUCGAAACGGCACCAACCAGUUCGGAGAAAUACCAAAAUAGUCACUAAGGCAGGGAGAGAAACCAAUAGCUUCUUCCAGCAUGGAGUAAGACAGUCCUGAGGAACCUCGUUAAAGUACCUCAAACUACCGUUGUUAACACCUACUGUUCAUGUCACGUCGCGAGAGAUAAUAAGAACCUAGAGAACGUCAACGGAAGAGACUACAACACCAACUAAGAUACCAACAACUCUCUUGAGCCCCACUCAGUGUCUCGUGUAGACCUAGAGAGGUCAGUGACACAACCCCUAGAAGUCGGAAACCCCGUUAACACUCGCGUAUGAAGUCACCAAGAGAACACCUAUGAAUACCACAUUCUAAACAGAAACCACAAUGUCGUAAAAAUGGGGACUACUGUAGACGACAACGUCAAGAACAUUUACUUUUCGCAAACGGAUGACUCCUUGCAAGGUAGAGUGAAAGUUCAAGUUCCAACUAACUUUCGAGAUUCGUCGUCUAGUCCGUCUAAACCUGACGACAUUUCGUUGGCUUGUAAAAGAACGGAUGAAACAAGUAUAAGGAAACCGUUCGCUGUGGUGUCAGCCUAAGACGGUACAAAAUAAAGCAGUGUUUGUUCUAACCUAAGUGAGGUCUCAAAGAUCCCGCACAGUGUGAGCAAUGUAGACAACGUAGGAACGACCCGCAGCCUUAUAUAUUAAGCAAGGACUUCCGUCAAGGUGAUUCUUUUUAGAAAGAACACUGUUGUUAAAAUCCAAGACGGGAACCUUACUGUGUCCAAGAAGAACAGUGACCCGAGUUAUCCUUCGACCCCUAUUCACUACUUACCAAGAGGUAACCCCUAAGGAACUAAGAGUGUCAGGAACCAGUCCGAAGCAAGUACGGGCACAACCACAACCGGCGCUCUAACACAGGAGACCCUCACCUUCGCUGUAACAAACGGUGUGACUACAGGUAAAGGUUGUGCCCUUCACAACGGCCGCCAGACCACCCGCGCCCGGAUUGAGUCAAAGAUCCUCAGUGGUUCCUGUUGAAACUUUUAGACCGAGACGACUAGCAGUAGACGUUGGAGUCGAGAGACGACGGAGACGGAGAGGACCCAGAGGAAGGUCUACCUAGUGGCCUACGGCUAUUACCCGUUUGUUUUCAGCUAACUUUAUAAAACUCGAAGAGAAUCCCUAAUAUCUGAGUCUCUAUCAGUCUAGGACCGCACUUGAGCUAGUGGUCCCGCUCUGCCCUACUCUUGACGUCUCUACAGUCUAGGACCGCACUUGAGCUAGUGGUCCCGUCUGCUCUACUGUUGACGUCGAUUGAAACCCGUAAACGACCGCACCACGUGCCAACUAACAACUCUUCUCGCGUGGGGGUCGUCUUCCACUUCAAGAUCUACUGGCGUGUGGUGCGACGAGAAUGGACAUUAUUUUGAGGCGUGGUAGCGUCAGUUCUAAGUACCAUUUAAUUUGCGCCAUCUACUUGCGCUUCUGACCGACGUGGUUACUGACGUACAUAUAUGAUGUAAUAGAGUGAAACGAUACGUACAUAUAUGUCUAUAGGAAAGAAUUUCUUUCCUUUGUUUACACCUUACACCUCGCUCAAAGCAUGACGAUGUAUAACGUCAGCUACGGUUUUGGCUGACACAUUCCCCAAUAGGGUCCAUCGAAAACAACCCUGCCUGGCAUUUUUUAUACUCGGCUAACACUCACACCGUGGUAGCACCCGCCAAAUACACCUGUCGACUGACGAAAACAGACUUCUAACUUUAUAACUAAAUCCUUCGAGAAAAUCAUUACUAUCCUUCAAAUUGAUAAUGUUAGACUAGUUACGUGUUUACUUACUUUAGCAGGUUUUAGUUAGGACCUCAGAGCCGUUAGAUGGCCGAGGGCACAUGCUGUACUCCUAACUGGAUGCCGAUAGAAAGUUUUUUAUGACCCAAGGGCACCUGCUGUAGUCCUACACGUACGCCGCCACUCGAAACCCCCUACUUUCCUUGUUACACGGCGGUUACUGCUUUGCUGUAAGUAACCGUUGUAGUACGUCGUUUUAAAAGUGUAAGAGAUGCUGGACCGGUCGCCGUAGCAUAGAAGGUCGACCUCCUCACGUGGAGGGAGAUUACCUCUAUUCCGAACAUCUGUACGGGGAUGGUCGAUCUAAACUUGCUCCGAAACGUAUUUAUAUGUUUAGUAUCUGUACGCAUACUCAUAGCGAGGCGACGAUCUGAAUUUAUUCCAAGUUC